rnacentral:rRNA from 1 species
AUUGAACGCUGGCGGCAUGCUUUACACAUGCCAGUCGAACGGCAGCGCGGGCUUCGGCCUGGCGGCGAGUGGCGAACGGGUGAGUAAUGCAUCGGAACGUGCCCAGUAGUGGGGGAUAGCCCGGCGAAAGCCGGAUUAAUACCGCAUACGACCUGAGGGUGAAAGCGGGGGACCGAAAGGCCUCGCGCUAUUGGAGCGGCCGAUGUCGGAUUAGCUAGUUGGUGGGGUAAAGGCUUACCAAGGCGACGAUCCGUAGCUGGUCUGAGAGGAAGACCAGCCACACUGGGACUGAGACACGGCCCAGACUCCUACGGGAGGCAGCAGUGGGGAAUUUUGGACAAUGGGGGCAACCCUGAUCCAGCCAUGCCGCGUGCGGGAAGAAGGCCUUCGGGUUGUAAACCGCUUUUGUUCGGGAAGAAAUCCUCUGGGCUAAUACCCCGGGGGGAUGACGGUACCGGAAGAAUAAGCACCGGCUAACUACGUG